rnacentral:tRNA from 2 species
CAGAGGGUAGUUAAAUUAAGAAUUUUAGCUUUGGGAGCUAACGGUGGGAGUUAAAAUCUCCUCUCUCUGA